rfam:Gossypium hirsutum cultivar TM-1 chromosome 21, whole genome shotgun sequence
AAUCCGUGAUGAGGGAAUUUCUGUAAUAAUUCUUUAUACCUUUCCCAUGCUUCAUACAAGGACUCAUCAUCCAUUUGUUGGAAAGCAGUGAACUCAUCCCUCAACUU